rfam:Triticum urartu cultivar G1812 contig307006, whole genome shotgun sequence.
GUUAUGCAACGUGUGGUAAUUUGCGUCCGAGGCAUUUCAGUGAUGCCACUCUUUUUCACGUUGAAGAUCUGAUGCAUCCC